AACGAACGCUGGCGGCAUGCCUAACACAUGCAAGUCGAACGAGACCUUCGGGUCUAGUGGCGCACGGGUGCGUAACGCGUGGGAACCUGCCCUUAGGUUCGGAAUAACUCCCUGAAAGGGGUGCUAAUACCGGAUAAUGUCUUCGGACCAAAGAUUUAUCGCCUUUGGAUGGGCCCGCGUUGGAUUAGCUAGUUGGUAGGGUAAAAGCCUACCAAGGCGACGAUCCAUAGCUGGUCUGAGAGGAUGAUCAGCCACACUGGGACUGAGACACGGCCCAGACUCCUACGGGAGGCAGCAGUGGGGAAUAUUGGAAAAUGGGCGAAAGCCUGAUCCAGCAAUGCCGCGUGAGUGAUGAAGGCCUUAGGGUUGUAAAGCUCUUUUACCCGGGAUGAUAAUGACAGUACCGGGAGAAUAAGCUCCGGCUAACUCCGUG
rnacentral:rRNA from 1 species